ACAUGGCAGAGAGAAAUGGUUAAAAAACAAAAAAAAAUAUAUACUUUUCAAUUUCCUUCCCCAUCCUGUGUUUCAGAAUACCAGUUCUCACUCUCUCAAAUAUUUCUUACACAACGACCAAAGACAUGUGCAAAGGUAAACCGAAAAAUGGAAAAGAAAAUUCCACAUUCGAUAGACAAUUCUGACAUGGUUGAAGGCGGAGAUGGCUUGCUCACGUGGGUGAAUGAUGGUCGGUGGUGGAGGUUCGUUUUGUUUUUCGAUAGUGGAAACAGAUGCAUGCAUAUUAGUAGUUUGCAGGCUCGUCUUUAUUGAGAGAUGAAGAGUGAGUUGGUUGAACCUUGUUGUUGUUAUUAGGUGUUUGUGUGUGGUUU
rnacentral:lncRNA from 1 species